AGAGCGAACGCUGGCGGCAGGCUUAACACAUGCAAGUCGAGCGCUCGUAGCAAUACGAGAGCGGCAGACGGGAGAGUAACACGUGGGAACGUACCCUUUGGUUCGGAACAACACAGGGAAACUUGUGCUAAUACCGGAUAAGCCCUUACGGGGAAAGAUUUAUCGCCAAAGGAUCGGCCCGCGUCUGAUUAGCUAGUUGGUGGGGUAACGGCCCACCAAGGCGACGAUCAGUAGCUGGUCUGAGAGGAUGACCAGCCUCAUUGGGACUGAGACACGGCCCAAACUCCUACGGGAGGCAGCAGUGGGGAAUAUUGGACAAUGGGCGCAAGCCUGAUCCAGCCAUGCCGCGUGGAUGAUGAAGGCCUUAGGGUUGUAAAGUCCUUUUAACGGGAAGAUAAUGACGGUACCCGUAGAAUAAGCCCGGCUAACUUCGUGCCAGCAGCCGC
rnacentral:rRNA from 1 species